rnacentral:tRNA from 1 species
GCGCCGACCUCGCCCAGGACGACGUGGCGCGCUCGCGGUUCCUGCGCGAGCUCGAGGCGGUCAAGCGGGUGGCGCGGUUCUGCACCGCGCAGGUGCUC